rnacentral:rRNA from 1 species
CUACGGGACGCAGCAGUCGAGAAUCUUCGGCAAUGGACGAAAGUCUGACCGAGCGACGCCGCGUGCGGGAUGAAGGCCUUCGGGUUAUAAACCGCUGUCAGAGGGAAGGAAAUUUUGACCGAUCCUCAAAGGAAGUACGGGCUAAAUUCGUGCCAGCAGCCGCGGUAAGACGAACCGUACAAACGUUAUUCGGAAUCACAGGGCUUAAAGGGUGCGUAGGUGGUCUAUUAAGUUGGGUGUGAAAUCCCUCGGCUCAACCGAGGAACUGCGCUCAAUACUGGUAGACUUGAGGGAGAUAGAGGUGAGCGGAACUGAUGGUGGAGCGGUGAAAUGCGUUGAUAUCAUCGGGAACACCUGUGGCGAAAGCGGCUCACUGGAUCUCUUCUGACACUGAGGCACGAAAGCUAGGGGAGCGAACGGGAUUAGAUACCCGCGUAGUC